rnacentral:tRNA from 1 species
GCUCGAGUGGUGAAAUCGGUAGACACACAAGACUUAAAAUCUUGGGAGGGUUACCCCUCGUGCCAGUUCAAGUCUGGCCUCGAGCA